rnacentral:rRNA from 1 species
UUGCUAGAAGAUGACGAGCGGCGGACGGGUGAGUAAUGCUUGGGAACAUGCCUUUAGGUGGGGGACAACCAUUGGAAACGAUGGCUAAUACCGCAUAAUGUCUACGGACCAAAGGGGGCUUCGGCUCUCGCCUUUAGAUUGGCCCAAGUGGGAUUAGCUAGUUGGUGAGGUAAUGGCUCACCAAGGCGACGAUCCCUAGCUGGUUUGAGAGGAUGAUCAGCCACACUGGAACUGAGACACGGUCCAGACUCCUACGGGAGGCAGCAGUGGGGAAUAUUGCACAAUGGGCGCAAGCCUGAUGCAGCCAUGCC